AGCGAACGCUGGCGGCAGGCCUAACACAUGCAAGUCGAACGAAGUCUUCGGACUUAGUAGCGGACGGGUGAGUAACACGUGGGAACGUGCCUUUAGGUUCGGAAUAACUCAGGGAAACUUGUGCUAAUACCGAAUGUGCCCUUCGGGGAAAGAUUUAUCGCCUUUAGAGCGGCCCGCGUCUGAUUAGCAAGUUGGUGAGGUAAAGGCUCACCAAGGCGACGAUCAGUAGCUGGUCUGAGAGGAUGAUCAGCCACAUUGGGACUGAGACACGGCCCAAACUCCUACGGGAGGCAGCAGUGGGGAAUCUUGCGCAAUGGGCGAAAGCCUGACGCAGCCAUGCCGCGUGAAUGAUGAAGGUCUUAGGAUUGUAAAAUUCUUUCACCGGGGACGAUAAUGACGGUACCCGGAGAAGAAGCCCCGGCUAACUUCGUGCCAGCCGCCGCCGUAA
rnacentral:rRNA from 1 species